rnacentral:miRNA from 1 species
GAGCAAGCCAUGGAGAGCAAGCCAGUAAGCAGCAUGCCCUCGUGGUUCCUGCCUUGGCUUGCCUCAAU